rnacentral:lncRNA from 10 species
GCACCAUCUGGUCCCCUGGGAGGUCAGUGCAGGGUUCCUCCAUUUUGACAUGAGUAAAUUCUAGAUUAGGUAUUUGGCAGUUAACUCAUCUGGAUAUAUGGGAACAGAAGUGCCAGACACGUAGAUAAUAUUUGGAGAACAGGAGCAGACUUGGAACAUGCUGAAUAGAGGACAAGGAAGUAUCAUCAGACAAACUUAAAGAUGAUCUGACAAUGUCAUUUUCCAAGGGACUGAUAGAAAGAUUGAGUAUCAUGGAAUCAGAACAGACAACAGAGAAUCAGAUUUGGACUGAAUCAGAAUAAACAGGCAAUGCAGACACUUGUUCUCUGAAUCACAAUCAAGACUCAGUGCUGGAACAGAUUUGAGGAAUGUAUACAAUUCUUAUCUAAACUGAUGUCUGAUAUUUAACCAGGAAUCAACUUACUCUGGUGAGCUUUGUUGAGAGUAGAUUUUUUGAGGAAAGAAUUGAAGGAGUGGCCAUAUUCAUACUAGAAUAAAACAUAGGAGAUGUCAAGAUUAUCUGAAGAAGGGGAGAGAAGAGACACCAGAUACUUGCAGACACAGAAGAAAUACCAUGUGCAAACAUACCCAGAAGACCACCAUCUGCAAGAGAAGGAGAGAGACCUCAGAAUACACCAAUGCUGCUGAAACCUUCAUCUUGGACUUCCAGCCUCCAGACUUUGAGAAAAUAAAUUUCUGUUGUUUAAGGAGCGCAGUCUAUGGUAUUUGGUAA